AGGCCACAUUUACUGCAUUACUCCCUAAAAUGGGAUCUCAUUCAGUGGUGACUUCUCUCCUGCCUUCUCUACAGCUACUAGCAGAAAGGGGUGAUGUCUCCAUGGUUGGGAUAUCGGUGACUUCAGGUGACCAGUUAUUGUUUGGAGAACAUCUUGAUGAAAUGAUCACUGAUCAAAGAGGAAGUUCAGUUGGCAGGAUCAGAAGCUGGUAAGUCUCUCAUCUAGCCCUUUUUGCAGACUGUGGGCAACUUGAGGUCACUGCUCUAUUUCUA